rnacentral:rRNA from 1 species
CUGGGCGUAAGGGCGCGCAGGCGGUUGUGCACGAUCGGAUGUGAAAUCCCCGCGGCUCAACCUGGGAAUUGCCUUGGAGACUGCAUGGCUUGAGUGUGGCAGAGGGGGGUGGAAUUCCUCGUGUAGCGGUGAAAUGCGUAGAGAUGUGGAGGAAUACCGGUGGCGAAGGCGGCCCCCUGGACCAACACUGACGCUCAUGCGCGAAAGCGUGGGGAGCAAACAGGAUUAGAUACCCUGGUAGUCCACGCCCUAAACGAUGACUGCUAGGUGUUGGGGAUUCAUUUCCUUCCGUGCCGAGCUAACCCGUGAAGUUCACCGCCUGGGGAGUACGGCCGCAAGAUUAAAACUCAAAGGAAUGUGACGG